CCCGCCAAGCCUCUUAACAAUGCUCAAAUAGGCGGGU
rfam:Bacteroidetes bacterium GWF2_40_14 gwf2_scaffold_63, whole genome shotgun sequence.